CUAACACAUGCAAGUCGAACGGUAACAGGAAGAAGCUUGCUUCUUUGCUGACGAGUGGCGGACGGGUGAGUAAUGUCUGGGAAACUGCCUGAUGGAGGGGGAUAACUACUGGAAACGGUAGCUAAUACCGCAUAACGUCGCAAGACCAAAGAGGGGGACCUUCGGGCCUCUUGCCAUCGGAUGUGCCCAGAUGGGAUUAGCUAGUAGGUGGGGUAACGGCUCACCUAGGCGACGAUCCCUAGCUGGUCUGAGAGGAUGACCAGCCACACUGGAACUGAGACACGGUCCAGACUCCUACGGGAGGCAGCAGUGGGGAAUAUUGCACAAUGGGCGCAAGCCUGAUGCAGCCAUGCCGCGUGUAUGAAGAAGGCCUUCGAGUUGUAAAGUACUUUCAGCGGGGAGGAAGGGAGUAAAGUUAAUACCUUUGCUCAUUGACGUUACCCGCAGAAGAAGCACCGGCUAACUCCGUGCCAGCAGCCGCGGUAAUACGGAGGGUGCAAGCGUUAAUCGGAAUUACUGGGCGUAAAGCGCACGCAGGCGGUUUGUUAAGUCAGAUGUGAAAUCCCCGGGCUCAACCUGGGAACUGCAUCUGAUACUGGCAAGCUUGAGUCUCGUAGAGGGGGGUAGAAUUCCAGGUGUAGCGGUGAAAUGCGUAGAGAUCUGGAGGAAUACCGGUGGCGAAGGCGGCCCCCUGGACGAAGACUGACGCUCAGGUGCGAAAGCGUGGGGAGCA
rnacentral:rRNA from 1 species